UACGGGGGGAGCAAGCGUUGUUCGGAUUUACUGGGCGUAAAGGGCGCGUAGGCGGUCGUGACAAGUCACUUGUGAAAUCUCCGGGCUUAACUCGGUAGCGGCCAAGUGAUACUGUCGGACUAGAGUGCGGAAGGGGCAACUGGAAUUCUCGGUGUAGCGGUGAAAUGCGUAGAUAUCGAGAGGAACACCUGCGGCGAAGGCGGGUUGCUGGGCCGACACGUGACGCUGGAGGCGCGAAAGCCCAGGGG
rnacentral:rRNA from 1 species